rnacentral:lncRNA from 10 species
GAUGCCUGGGCUCGGGCUUGGUUCCGGGCGGGGCCGCGCUCCCGGGGCGCGGGUGGAGGAGCUUGGAACCACGCAGAUCGGGCGUGGGCUUGCGGACUGCAGCUUCCCGAGCCGCUGUCGCCCCGGAGGGGCGGCAAGGCGGGCGGCCGCGGGCCGUUUCCUUGCCUCUUCCUCUGCCCCGCUUCGGCCGCCUCCCGCCUCUCAGGGUCGGGGUUGUCUGUCCCCUUCGCUGUCACAUCCUCCGCACCCAGCGCUUGGAAGGUGCUCCAUCACGGUGACAGACAGGUGCCAAGCAGGCUGGCGUCUGGGAGGAACUUCGGAGCCGGCUCUCCCUAGGCCCCGAGCUUGGCCGCAUCCGUCCUUACUCUGGUGACCCUGGGCAGGUCACUGACUCUUCGGGCGCUUUGGCAUCCUCGUUUGAAAGGGGCUGUUAUCCUGCAGCCUUGCUGGUCGGUGAGGGUGAGGGUGAGAGGGAUCUGUGCACCUAGCACCGUGCAUGGCACGUGGUAGGCGUUUGGUACAUGGGAAUCGCUGUUGGGGUGUCACCUCCCCAGAAAGUUCUCGGCUUCAGUAAGCGCGUCCCCUGCCAGGCGCCCUGGCAAUGCAGAGGAGUCACCGAGCUCCGCCUUUGACCAGCGUGCAGCUGGGAGAGUGAGAUCAGAGACCACAGCAGAUCGUGGCGCUGUGAUCAGGGGGUACACUCAAGCUGUGGGUCCCUUACCCCAGCCUUGAGAUCCCAGGAAGGCCUGCAGCCUGAAACGGGCCUUGAAAGGGGAUCUUCUCUGGAUCAAGCAAUGGUGGUGAAAAAUGUUUCGCAAGGGCAAAAAACGACACAGUAGUAGCAGUUCCCAAAGUAGCGAAAUCAGUACUAAGAGCAAGUCUGUGGAUUCUAGCCUUGGGGGUCUUUCACGAUCCAGCACUGUGGCCAGCCUCGACACAGAUUCCACCAAAAGCUCAGGAACAAGCACAAGCCAUUUGCAAGGUUUUAUCCACCGCUUUUGACUCUGUAUUAACAUCUGAGAAACCCUGAAUCCUGCAAUCAAGUAGAAGUCAACUUCAUCUGAAAGUUCAGCUGUUUUCAAACUGCAAUGCUGAAAUGUUAUGCAAAUAAUGAAGUUAUCCCUUGCUCUAGAUUUUCUGAAGAAAAUGGAUUGUGUAAAAUGCUGAUCAUUUGUUUAUUAAAAUGUGUCCUAUUACACAGUG